rnacentral:rRNA from 1 species
CCUACGGGAGGCAGCAGUGAGGAAUAUUGGUCAAUGGACGAGAGUCUGAACCAGCCAAGUAGCGUGAAGGAUGACUGCCCUAUGGGUUGUAAACUUCUUUUAUAUGGGAAUAAAAUGUUCCACGUGUGGGAUUUUGUAUGUACCAUAUGAAUAAGGAUCGGCUAACUCCGUGCCAGCAGCCGCGGUAAUACGGAGGAUCCGAGCGUUAUCCGGAUGUAUUGGGUUUAAAGGGAGCGUAGGUGGAUUGUUAAGUCAGUUGUGAAAGUUUGCGGCUCAACCGUAAAAUUGCAGUUGAAACUGGCAGUCUUGAGUACAGUAGAGGUGGGCGGAAUUCGUGGUGUAGCGGUGAAAUGCUUAGAUAUCACGAAGAACACCGAUGGCGAAGGCAGCUCACUGGACUGCAACUGACACUGAGGCUCGAAAGUGUGGGUAUCAAACAGGAUUAGAUACCCCAGUAGUC